rnacentral:miRNA from 1 species
AGGUUAUCAUUAUGUCGGUGCAACAGUAAUUGUGGUUUUUGCCUUUAAAAAAAAAAAAAAGUCAAAAACCGCAAUUACUUUUGCACCAGGCUAAUA